rnacentral:misc_RNA from 1 species
UCCGGCUUAUCACCGGCGGUCCCCUUAGAGUGCCCAACUAAAUGAUGGCAACUAAGGGCAAGGGUUGCGCUCGUUGCGGGACUUAACCCAACAUCUCACGACACGAGCUGACGACAGCCAUACAGCACCUGUCUCCAGGUUCCCGAAGGCACUCCCGCAUCUCUGCAGGAUUCCUGGGAUGUCAAGACCAGGUAAGGUUCUUCGCGUAUCAUCGAAUUAAACCACAUGCUCCGCUGCUUGUGCGGGUCCCCGUCAAUUCCUUUGAGUUUUAGCCUUGCGGCCGUACUCCCCAGGCGGGGCACUUAAUGCGUUAGCUUCGGCACGGAGGGAGUCGACACCCCCCACACCUAGUGCCCAUCGUUUACAGCGUGGACUAC